AUAAGGUUCGCUUGUUGCUAAGGUGUUUUCCUCUUUCCCGGAUACUGUUACGACAAGCCAUUAUUGUUUUGAUAAAAUUGGGUAAAAUAUCGAUUGGGAUUUUUCUUACCAUCGUUUGAAGGUUCCUGCAUUUUUCGGACGUUUGGCCGAUGAAGAUGGCGUAAGAGAGAGUUGUGACGUUAAAGACAGUUUUUCUGCACGAUCGCAAACCAGAUGGCGCUCGAUAUAGAUUUUCGAGGGGGCGCUGAGAUGAGAUGGCGAAGCAUAUGAGUUCAAAGUUCUUCCUCUUCUUGGGUUAUUUCGUUCGGUUUUAACGCAUUGGCGUAUUGAAAACCCAUCUCUGAUGACUCUUCAGACAUUUUAUUGCUUAGACAUUGAUUUAUUCAGCAAACAUUUCUUAGUUGUUGAAUUAAACAUUUAUUGAUUUUCUUAAGAAAUUCAUCAUGUGGAUCUUUUAAGAGAAAAUUAAAAAUAAAUUACUUCAAUUCAAUUUACUUUGUUGAUGCUGCCACACAUAUUUGUUCCUUUAUUUUACAUUGACAAAGGUUUAAUUAGCUAAAACCUGUUGCAUGUCUGUUGGAUUAUAUUUUAUAUUUGAUAAAUUACACAUGAAAAGUUACUUUAGCCAAAUUCAAAUUAUAUCCCCUUGUUAAUAGACUUUUGCUAUUCAAUACCUUACAACUUUGAAUUUCUGAACAAUCAAACUCUUACGCCUGACCUAUAAUUAUUGGACUUGCUUCUAAUUGGGGCAGGUCCAAUAAUUAUAUGGUACAUGGUACAUAGUUCAUAAAAUAGAAAACAGGACAAUAAUGAAAUAUAAAAAUAAUCACAGAAGAUUCAAUAAAUUCUUCAUUUUUGUCCAUUUCAAUCCUCAAGAACACAACAUGCAAUGUCAUCCUUUUAUUUGAGACUACUGUAAAUAUUGUGUUCCUGAGAUGUUGAAAAGAACAAAAAUGAAGACAUCUACUAGUUCUUCUAAUUUUGUAACACAUGCUACAUGUUUCCUGUUGAUAGAGCAUGCAAUACAGUUGCUGUCAG